UUCCUAAGGCCUGUAGUUACAGUUGGUGUUAUUAGCAAUAAACAUUUCACACCCAUCAUGAUGAUGUCUGUUAACUUGUGAAUGUAACUGUCUUGAAAAAAAGGAAUCUUGCAGUGAAGAUCAUUCCCGGGCAGUGGUCAGAAAAAAAGAGUUUUGACUUGAAGGGUUUUCCAAGCCAAGACUAUGGAGUUGACUGUGGGAUCUUCAUGCUGAUGUCUGCUCUGUACGUGGCACUGGAUGCACCAUUUGACUAUACUAUAUCAGACAUGCCCUACUUGCGUAAAUGGUGGUGCUUGCUGUUGAUGGAGAACUUUGAUCUCAGGAGCUCUGGCAAGCUAUUUGCACACUGGAGAGAGGAAGCCAAAGCUGUGCUUGAAGGACAAC